GGAAAGUCGGCGGUGGACGGGCACCUUGUUGACCAGGUCAGGUCCGGAAGGAAGCAGCCACAGUAAGUUUCGUCCGGGUCAUUGUCCGGCUUUCCACC
rnacentral:SRP_RNA from 4 species